AAAUCCCUUCGACUUUAGAAAUCGUGAGGGUUCAAGUCCCUCUAUCCCCA
rnacentral:tRNA from 1 species